ensembl:lncRNA novel transcript
GACUUUUUUCUGAAGUUGUUUAUUGCCUUGCAGAGCAAGAGGAACUUAACUCUCACUUAAAGCAGGCCUAUAUAAUUUAAUAUGAUAAUCUUCCUCAAUUAGACUCAACAUGCUUACCCGAGUACUGUGCAUCCAGGAAAUUUUAGCUUGGACAUAAUUUUCUCAGAGAAGCCUUCUGUUUCUCUGCACUAAAACAGCCAUGCUACCAACACACUCUCUGAUCAUAUUUUAAGUCCUCCUAGCACCCUAAUUUUCUUUAUAUGACUGAGCACAUUUUAAAUUCUUACUCAAUUCUUGUCUUUUCCACCAAGUUUAAAACUAUGUCAAAGUAAACUAUCAUCUGUGCUUUCCUAGUGUUGUUUCCUCAGGACCAUGCAUAGUGCUUUGCACAUGGCUGGCCUUAGAUAAAUGUUUGCUGAAUGAAUAAAAUUGAUGCAUUAACUGU